rnacentral:lncRNA from 1 species
AACGAUGAUAAAAAAUGAUAACAAUAACAAAAACUGAGUUCUCGAAAACUAAAAUAUGGUUUUAUAAAUAAUCCAUAGCUAUUUUCGUGACAUCGUAGCGUUUGUUGCUUCUUCAGGGAUGAAAUUCUCUCGUCGAUUGUUGACUUAAAGUCCGUAAAAAAUGUUUCGCUAUGGUUUCGGACGACUGUGCCACCAAACGUGUGGUUUAAACAGACCACACAAGCUGCUGUCGAACGCCUGUCAGAAGCUUAUCUCGUCCAGUUCUCGUCCUCCGGUGGUCAUAAAAAAUGAAAUCCAUUUGCAGUGCAAUAAGUAUUUCAGGCAAUACAGAGGACAAG